AUGGAAUGAGUUAUCGCAUGUUGGCGCCAACGCGCUUGUUUUCUUGCUUGAGACAACAUACGCGACCUACCAGUGGUGAUGCGCGCACGUCCUAGGCCACGUUAUCGCUAUCUCGUGAAACGCAAGUGACUCAGCCCGACUCGGCUGGCUGAGAAACGGCCGAGCAUCACCGAUAGCGUUGCGCGCGCCAGAGAUAUCCACUAGCGCGACGCAAGCGCCGGCGCUGCCAUCUCUUGUUCAUUUCGCUGGUUACUCGCACCGCGGGUAUGGUGGCUAGAAAGGGGAGGUGUGAUGACCGCGGCGCCCUUCCCAUAGAGAGGGGUGAUACCAUUGUGCGUGACUGCCGCUAGGGCAAUACAGAGCGCUGCCGCCCGGGGCGCCGUCAGCAUUUCCGCGGAGACGGCGGAGAGAAGGCAACGAGUACGGCUAGACAGCGCUUGGGCGCCGGAUUUUCACGGUUUGUUUUGCUGCAGAUUGUUGCCUGUGCUGCUUAUUUAUGACUGCUGUGGGCUGACGAAGAUGCCUUCAACUUCAAAGAAAAAAACUCAGAGAUGUUGCUUCGUGCCAGGGUGCGAUUCCGGUUACAAAUCUUGUUCAAAAAGAGUGUUCCUUUUCCGUGCGCCUACUUGCCAAGACUGUUUUUGAAGUGGGCGCGUGCCAUUCCAAGGGCCGACAAACCGCUGCAGGAAAAUUCAGCUGCUUGCGCAAAUCACUUUGACGCAAGCGCGCUACGACGGAGCGAACUUGCGAUACAGUCGACGGUAACUCAUGCUCACAAAGCUCGUGAAGGUAGUAUAGUCAUUUGUUAAGUGCUGGCGCACAGCAAGUUACCUUACUGCUUUUAAAACACGUGGUACAAACACAAACAAUGCUCUACAGCUGAAGUACGAGUAAGAGGCACUCCUGGAAAAUGAGAAGCAGGAUGAUGUAUUCCCCAUGGAGGCUGCUGAAGUGGCAGUGGACCAUGCGGACUAUUGAAAAACGAAGCGAUGCUCGCUUGGUGUACUACAUUGCAGGCCACAUGGCCAGGAAGCGUGUUCUCUCAACUAGCUGUGCAGUAUGCAGGGAUGCCUGCCUUGUGCCGAGAGACUGUGUCCCAAAAGAACUCCCAGCUGAUGCCUCCAAAGAGUGGGACUUGGGUGGGCUUCUCUACCCGUCGGAGUCACUGCAUCGUCUGAUUCAAGCUCUUGCAAUCAGGCUAACGUAUGAAUUUAGCAGAACGCGUCUGCAUUCUAAAGCUGCUUUCAGCAUGCUCGAGAAAGUGAGCACAAAUGUGCCACAAAUUGGUUGUGGGGAACAUUGCCUGGAACUUACAAAAUCAGUGGUCAGGUUUUUCUGCCUUACCAGAAUCCAGUUUCUUUUGAAGAGCCUCAACCAGGAAAUGAAUGAGAAAAAAGGCAAAAGAACAAAGCCUUGCGUGAUGUGAAACAAGCAGCAGAAUUGGUGAAGUACAAUCUGCUUUAUGCAAUAAAGCUUGCUUGUCCGUAAA